UACGGGGGGGGCAAGCGUUGUUCGGAAUUACUGGGCGUAAAGGGUUCGUAGGUGGCUUGCUAAGUCAGACGUGAAAUCCCUCAGCUUAACUGGGGAACUGCGUCUGAUACUGGCGAGCUUGAGUGCAGGAGAGGAACGCGGAAUUCCAGGUGUAGCGGUGAAAUGCGUAGAUAUCUGGAGGAACACCGGUGGCGAAGGCGGCAUCCUGGACCGGCAUUGACGCUGAGGCGCGAAAGCUAGGGGAGCAAACGGG
rnacentral:rRNA from 1 species